UACGAAGGGGGCUAGCGUUGCUCGGAAUUACUGGGCGUAAAGGGUGCGUAGGCGGCGGGGCAAGUCAGGUGUGAAAUCUCGGGGCUCAACCCCGAAACUGCACUUGAUACUGCCUUGCUCGAGUACUGGAGAGGAGACUGGAAUUUACGGUGUAGCAGUGAAAUGCGUAGAUAUCGUAAGGAAGACCAGUGGCGAAGGCGAGUCUCUGGACAGUUACUGACGCUGAGGCACGAAGGCCAGGGGAGCAAACGGG
rnacentral:rRNA from 1 species